rnacentral:rRNA from 1 species
CAGGCCUAACACAUGCAAGUCGAGCGGACCUUUCGGGGUCAGCGGCGGACGGGUGAGUAACGCGUGGGAACGUGCCUUCUGGUUCGGAAUAACCCUGGGAAACUAGGGCUAAUACCGGAUACGCCCUUAUGGGGAAAGGUUUACUGCCGGAAGAUCGGCCCGCGUCUGAUUAGCUAGUUGGUGGGGUAACGGCCUACCAAGGCGACGAUCAGUAGCUGGUCUGAGAGGAUGAUCAGCCACACUGGGACUGAGACACGGCCCAGACUCCUACGGGAGGCAGCAGUGGGGAAUAUUGGACAAUGGGCGCAAGCCUGAUCCAGCCAUGCCGCGUGAGUGAUGAAGGCCUUAGGGUUGUAAAGCUCUUUUAUACCGGGACGAUAAUGACGUGA